GAACUUAAGCAUAUCAAUAAGCGGAGGAAAAGAAACUAACAAGGAUUCCCUCAGUAACUGCGAGUGAAGUGGGAAAAGCUCAAAUUUGAAAUCUGGCAGCUCUUUCAGGUUGUCCGAGUUGUAAUCUAGAGAAGCGUUACCUGUGUUGGACCGUGUAAAAGUCUUCUGGAAUGGAGCAUCAUAGAGGGUGAGAAUCCCGUCUUUGACAUGGACUACCAGCAUGCCAAGGUGCACUCUCAAAGAGUCGAGUUGUUUGGGAAUGCAGCUCAAAAUGGGUGGUAAAUGCCAUCUAAAGCUAAAUAUUGGCGAGAGACCGAUAGCGAACAAGUACCGUGAGGGAAAGAUGAAAAGAACUUUGGAAAGAGAGUUAAACAGUACGUGAAAUUGCUGAAAGGGAAACGCUUAAAGUCAGUCGCAUUAGCUGGAAAUCAGGCUUGCUUUUGCAAGGUGCACUUUCUAGUUGAUGGGUCAGCAUCAAUUUUAAUCGUUGGAUAAAGUCAUUGGGAAUGUGGCAUCUUUGGAUGUGUUAUAGCCCAGUGUUGAAUACAGCGGUCAGGAUUGAGGAAUUCAGCAUGCCUCUAGGGGCCAGGUUUCGACCAUGUUCAUGCUUAGGAUGCUGGCAUAAUGGCUUUAAUCGACCCGUCUUGAAACACGGACCAAGGAGUAUGCCUGAAUAGGGUGAAGCCAGAGGAAACUCUGGUGGAGGCUCGUAGCGAUUCUGACGUGCAAAUCGAUCGUCAAAUUUGGGUAUAGGGGCGAAA
rnacentral:rRNA from 1 species